UACGGAGGGUGCGAGCGUUGUCCGGAAUCACUGGGCGUAAAGGGCGCGUAGGUGGCGCGGUGAGUCGGUGGUGAAAGCUCGGGGCUCAACCCCGAGUCGGCCAUCGAUACUGCCGGGCUCGAGCAUCGUAGAGGCAGGUGGAAUUCCGGGUGUAGCGGUGGAAUGCGUAGAGAUCCGGAAGAACACCGGUGGCGAAGGCGGCCUGCUGGGCGAUGGCUGACACUGAGGCGCGACAGCGUGGGGAGCAAACAGG
rnacentral:rRNA from 1 species